rnacentral:rRNA from 1 species
CACGUAGGCGGAUUUGUUAGUCAGGGGUGAAAUCCCGGGGCUCAACCUCGGAACUGCCUUUGAUACUGCAAAUCUCGAGUCCGAUAGAGGUGGGUGGAAUUCCUAGUGUAGAGGUGAAAUUCGUAGAUAUUAGGAAGAACACCGGUGGCGAAGGCGGCCCACUGGAUCGGUACUGACGCUGAGGUGCGAAAGCGUGGGGAGAAC